UCAUACGGACUUCGGUUACACCAUCAAAUCUUUGAA
rnacentral:sRNA from 1 species